GCCACAGAGGAACUCUGGAGCUCUGUCAGUGUGACAAUCGGGUUCUUGGUCUCCCCCGAUUGCUCAGUUUGGCCCGGGCGGCCAGCUCUAGGAAGAGUCUUGGGGGUUUCAAACUUCUUCCAUUUAAGAAUGCUGGAGGCUACUGUGUUCUUGGGGACCUUAAAUGCUGCAGAAAUGUUUUGGUCCCCAUCCCCAGAUCUGUGUCUUGACACACUCCUGUCUCGGAGCCCUACGGACAAUUCCUUCAACCUCAUGGCUUGGUUUUUGCUCUGACAUGCACUGCCAACUUUGGACCAUAUAUAGACAAUCAAUUGAAUGUACCACAGGUGGACUCCAAUCAAGUUGUAGAAACUUUUCAAGGAUGAUCAAUGGAAACAGGAUGCACCUGAGCUGAAAUUCGAGUCUCAUAGCAAAGGGUACUUUGAAUACUUAAGUAAUUAAGGUAUUUCUGGUUCAAUUUUUUUUUCAUAAAUGUGCAAACAUUUCUAAAAACCUGUUUUCACUUCGUCAUUAUGGGGUAUUGUGUGUAGAUUGAUGAUGAUUUUUUCCCCCCAUCCAUUUAAGAAUAAGGCUGUAACGUAACAAAAUGAGGAAAAAGUCAAGGGGUCUGAAUACUUUCUGAAUGCACUGUAUGUGUACAUUUAUUUUGCAACACCAGUGGAUUGGUCAGCAUGUUAGCUCCCUUUAAAAAAGCAUGUGUAUAUUUAGUGAUUUUUGUCAUUCUUUGAGGUUGUUUGUCUUCAUUCGUUCUUGUUGAUUGUAGGCCUGGGUAAGUCCUUUCGAUGUAUGCCUUUUAUUUCAAUGCAUGUGUAGGAUUUAUCUAGCAUAGUUUGCAUUCGACGUCAGCUGUUUAAUGCACCGGUUACUUUCACAUUGAUUUGAAGUCGGCCUUGUUGUCACGUCCUGACCAGUAAAGGGGUUAUUUGUUAUUAUAGUUUGGUCAGGACGUGGCAGGGGGUAUUUGUUUAGAGUGUUUCGGGGUUUGUUGGGCUAUGUGUUUAGGUAGAGGGGUGUUUGUUUAGAGUGUUCUGGGGUUUUUUGUUAUGUUCUAUGUUAGUAUAUUUCUAUGUUCUGGUCUAGUCUUUUUAGUUCUAUGUUUAGGGUUAUUGGAUGGACCUUCAAUUGGAGGCAGCUGUUCCUCGUUGCCUCUGAUUGAAGGUUUUGUUUCGUUUCAUCAAGUGUUGUAAUAAAAGUUAAGAUGAGCACGCAACCCGCUGCGCCUUGGUCCAGUAUAUACAACGACCGUUACACUUGUGAAGGAAUGUUGGUGUGGAAGAAAAAGAAAGAACAUCCAGACGACACCAUGAGGGAAAUUUUGAGCAAGGUUUUUUGUGGAAUGUGUGCUAAAUCCAGUGAUGGAAACAACCAAACCACAG